rnacentral:rRNA from 1 species
CCUACGGGGUGCAGCAGUGAGGAAUAUUGGUCAAUGGCCGGAACGCUGAACCAGCCAUGCCGCGUGAAGGUCAGUGCCCUAUGGGCGUUAAACUUCUUUUGUGCGGGAGCAAUAAUGGUCACGCGUGGCCAGAAGAGAGUACCGUACGAAUAAGCAUCGGCUAACUCCGUGCCAGCAGCCGCGGUAAUACGGGGGAUGCAAGCGUUUACCGGGUUUAUUGGGUUUAACGGGUGCGUAGGCUGGCAGGUAAGUCAGCGGUGAAAUGCCCCCGCUCAACGGGGUGAAGUGCCAUUGAUACUGCCUGGCUGGAGUGCGGAUGCCGUGGGAGGAAUGUGUGGUGUAGCGGUGAAAUGCAUAGAUAUCACACAGAACACCGAUUGCGAAGGCAUCUUACGAAUCCGCGAUUGACGCUGAUGCACGAAAGCGUGGGUAUCAAACAGGAUUAGAUACCCCGGUAGUC